rnacentral:lncRNA from 1 species
ACCCAUGGCAUAUGUAAGUUGCUGGGCCAGGGGUUGAAUCUGAGCUGCAGCUGCAACCUACGCCACAACUGUGGUAAUGCUGGAUCCUUUAACCCACUGAACUGAGCCAGGACGGAACUCACACCUCUGCAGUGACCCGAGCCGCUGCAGUUGGAUUCUUAACCCACAGCACCAUAGGAGGAACUCCAGUUUUCUUUUUUCUUUAGAAAACAAAUUCUCAGGAAAUUCUAUGACUAGAUAUCUGGAAGUGCAGAUUUCUACUGAUGGGACUUUAUACACGUGGGUUGCUAGUUCCAAGGGACCAAGUUUGAGCCAGAAAGCCAACAAAUUCCUAGAAAACAACAUCAACACCCAUAGUCUUCAACAUGUGGGUCGAUGGGGCUGGAGUCUAGUCUGCAGAAAGGAGAGAGAAGUGGCCACCGAGAACUUACCUCUUGGAUCUCGUCUCCUCUUUAAUUCUGUGGUCACCCUUCUUUCAAUUACAUCCAUUCUUUGCUACAUUUUUCAGAGGCAUUCUCUUUUGACAAAUCAUCAUUUUUUGUUUUUAAAGCAGUGAUAGAUGUACCCAGCACACAAUUCGAAAGAACAAAAAGGUAUAGUGGGAAACUUCAGUCUCCCUCCCACUCUGCUACCAACACUGAUUUCCUCUCCCUCAGAAAGUACCAAUUCGCCAGUUUCUUGCAUAUCCUUUCUUUUCCUUUCUACCACCAACUCCCUAGACAAGACUCCUGUCUCUUCACAGCUGUCUUAAUGUAACAGCUUGUCUCUUACACCACUUUGUCUCUUUCCAGGCCAAAUUACCCUUCCCCUAGCACGCAGAAUAACUGCAAAAAACGUCUGGGUAAGUCCUGAGCUGGAUUUUGAUAAACAUGAGACAUACGAAUGGUAAAAAAAAGAGAGGUAGGAAUCCCACGGUGGCAAUGGGGAACUUACCCAAGAGCCUAUAGAAAUGCUCUGUAAAUGUUUACUGGGUAGUUGAAAAUAACCAAUGAAAUAAACAAAGUUGCUACAGGAAUCAGAAAGGAAACAACUUCACUGCAACAGAGUUCACAAUAAAGCAUAACAAAAGGCAGAGGCCAUAGAAAUCACAGUUGUUAAUAUCUAAUCAUCAAUUAGUAGUUGAUGCCAGACACUGUUCUCAGUUUCUAAGCAAUGUAUUAUUUAUUCUCCAAACACCCUUAGGAGGUAUCACUUCAUCAUCCAUUUUAUAGAUCAGGAAAUGCAGUCUACUGGGCAGGUUUAGUAAAUUUCCAAGGAUAUCCAGCUGGUGUAUAUUCAAGUCAAAUCCAGGUUUCGAUUUGUUGUUGGGAACAAGAAUGACUUGGAUAAAGAAAUGUGGAACAUUCAGAAUUUGUAAAGUGGAAUUUGAGGGACGCUUCCUAUAUGUUUACACCAUUCUAGGUGUUGAUGAAGCUCAAACACAUGCCUAAUAUAUGGCUCCUGCCUGCAAUAAUUUCUAUAAAAUAUAUUUUUUUUAAGGG